GAUGAACGCUGGCGGCGUGCCUAAUACAUGCAAGUCGAGCGAACAGACGAGGAGCUUGCUCCUCUGACGUUAGCGGCGGACGGGUGAGUAACACGUGGAUAACCUACCUAUAAGACUGGGAUAACUUCGGGAAACCGGAGCUAAUACCGGAUAAUAUAUUGAACCGCAUGGUUCAUUAGUGAAAGACGGUUUUGCUGUCACUUAUAGAUGGAUCCGCGCCGCAUUAGCUAGUUGGUAAGGUAACGGCUUACCAAGGCAACGAUGCGUAGCCGACCUGAGAGGGUGAUCCGCCACACUGGAACUGAGACACGGUCCAGACUCCUACGGGAGGCAGCAGUAGGGAAUCUUCCGCAAUGGGCGAAAGCCUGACGGAGCAACGCCGCGUGAGUGAUGAAGGUCUUCGGAUCGUAAAACUCUUUUAUUAGGGAAGAACAAAAGUGUAAGAAACUAUGCACGUCUUGACGGUACCUAAUCAGAAAGCCACGGCUAACUACGUG
rnacentral:rRNA from 1 species